GACGAACGCUGGCGGCGUGCUUAACACAUGCAAGUCGAACGGUAAGGCCCUUCGGGGUACACGAGUGGCGAACGGGUGAGUAACACGUGGGUGAUCUGCCCUGCACUUCGGGAUAAGCCUGGGAAACUGGGUCUCAUACCCGCUAGGACCCUGCGAUGCAUGUCCUGGGGUGGGAAGCUUCUGCGGUGUGGGAUGGGCCCGCGGCCUAUCAGCUUGUUGGUGGGGUGAUGGCCUACCAAGGCGACGACGGGUAGCCGGCCUGAGAGGGUGACCGGCCACACUGGGACUGAGAUACGGCCCAGGCUCCUACGGGAGGCAGCAGUGGGGAACAUUGCACAAUGGGCGCAAGCCUGAUGCAGCGACGCCGCGUGAGGGAUGACGGCCUUCGGGUUGUAAACCUCUUUCAGCACCGACGAAGCGCAAGUGACGGUAGGUGCAGAAGAAGGACCGGCCAACUACGUGCCAGCAGCCGCCGUAA
rnacentral:rRNA from 1 species